UACGUAGGCAGCAAGCGUUGUUCGGAAUUACUGGGCGUAAAGAGUGUGUAGGCGGUGCUCCAAGUCUGGUGUGAAAUCUCCCGGCUCAACUGGGAGGGUGCAUUAGAAACUGGAAUGCUAGAGGAUGGGAGAGGUAAGCGGAAUUCCUGGUGUAGCGGUGAAAUGCGUAGAUAUCAGGAGGAACACCUGUGGUGUAGACAGCUUACUGGACCAUUUCUGACGCUGAGACACGAAAGCGUGGGUAGCAAAC
rnacentral:rRNA from 1 species